rnacentral:rRNA from 1 species
GCUCAGAGUAUAAGCCAAUGGAGCUUGGAAGGCUUCCGCAGAUGGUGUUCAUCAUACGUGGUGUUCUUAGACCUUGAGUGUGGCUCGUGAAGCGAAGCAUUGAGUUUGCCGACCAGCUGUCGUGCGGGGGGUUCAGCUUGGAAGGGUUGGGUUUCGGUCCAACAGUUUUCCUUCUGUCCCCUUUUGAAUGGACGUUCAGAGCUCUUGUGUCUAAUGCGGUUAUGCCCACCACAGCACGUUGUGAGGUCACCCACAGGCUCAAACUGCCGAUCGCGCAUCCAGAACGAUGGCAACGAUGCGUUGUCGAUGAUGGCUCGAGAGAGACUUCACUCACACGCGUGUCUAGUCCUGGGUCGGGCGGCGACCGAGAUAAACCUGGUACGAUCCUCUUGCGACGAGCUGCUUUCUGGCCAGACCGACGCCCGGACGCCUCCACUGUGCCGGAAGCGUCAACCCCAGGCGGUGUGAACCCAGCUGCAUUAUGCAAGGUCUCUCAGCCGGGCGUUGGUCUGAGUGGUGUUAAGUCCAGCACCAUCGGUCACGUCUCGAAACACGGGCCAAGGAGUAUAGCAUGUGUGCAAGUCUAAGGGUCUCACAAAACCCGAAGGCGAAGUGAAAGCAAGACUGUGGCGGGGGAGCUACGGCAAACCCGCCGGCCUAGUGGCGCGUGCGUCGCCUGGCUUUUAGCAGAGCUGAUCCUGUUUUCUCGGUUAAUUCUUGGUGCAGGCGCAAGCUCCGGGCUCACGUACAACACUGGUCACGCCUCGCG